rnacentral:rRNA from 1 species
ACGGGGACCCGCACAAGCAGCGGAGCGUGUGGUUUAAUUCGAUGCUACACGAAGAACCUUUACCAGGGUUUGACAUGCAAGUGGUAGGAAUCUGAAAAGUGACCGACCUUCGGGAAGCUUGCACAGGUGCUGCAUGGCUGUCGUCAGCUCGUGUCGUGAGAUGUUCGGUUAAGUCCGCUAACGAGCGCAACCCUCGUCGUAUGUUAUAUGUGUCAUACGAGACUGCCGGUAAAAGCCGGAGGAAGGUGAGGAUGAUGUCAAGUCAGCAUGACCUUUAUAUCCAGGGCUACACACACGCUACAAUGGUCUGUACAAUGGGUAGCCAAGCCGCGAGGCGGAGCCAAUCCUGAAAGCAGGCCUCAGUUCAGAUUGCAGUCUGCAACUCGACUGCAUGAAGCCGGAGUUGCUAGUAACCGCAGGUCAGCAAUACUGCGGUGAAUACGUUCCCGGGUCUU